AAACAUAAUGGGCCUCGUUUCCUUUGCAUCUGUGCGUGCUAAUGAGCCCAGUGCGUGUUGGCCCAAUUUAGUUGAGCCCAAACCUUUUAUUGAUCUGAUUUGAAUAAGCCUAGAACAUUCCCCCUCAUUUUCUUCCUUGUUCUCAUCGUUCUCACCAAACAAACCGUUUGAAUGUUCAUCUCCUUUUUCCAGUUUAACACCCCCCCGCAAGUUGGAGGGGCUCGUAGAAAUCCCCAACUUGGAGAGUAUUCUGUGAUGAGAAGGGCCAUUCAAAGCUUUGGUAAAUAAAUCAGCUAACUGCGAAGCUGCUGGAACAUACGAGAGUGAAAUGAGUCCGGCAACAAAUUGUUGUCGGACAAAAUGACAAUCCAAUUCCACGUGCUUAGUACGGUCGUGGAACACUGGAUUCUUCGCUAUAUGAAUCGCGGAUUGACUAUCUGAGUGAAUCGGAAUUGGAAGAUCCGGUGGACAACCUAAGUCUGUCAAAAGACGAUGCAACCAAGUGAUCUCGGCAACGACACGCCUCAUAGAGCGAUAUUCAGCCUCCGCUGAUGAUAAAGAAACAGAGGUUUGCUUCUUCGAUUUCCUUGAAAUCGGUGAACCACCAAGAGUGACAUAAAAUCCGCUAAUAGAUCGACAUGAAUAAAUACACGAACCCCAAUCAGCGUCACAGAAAGCAACCAGCUCCAAGGGAAUAUCAGUGCAAAAAAAUAAACCUUGCCCGGGGUUAGAUCUAAUAUACUGAAGAACUCUGAUUGCUGCAUAAUAAUGAGGAAGUCUAGGGCUUUGCAUAUACUGAGAAAGGUGCUGCACAGCAAAUGAAAUAUCAGGUCGACUGUGAGUGAGGAUCCAUUGGAGAUGAGACAAGAGGUAGAUGAGACCAGUCAAAUUCAGUAAGAAGAUCCAGGGCAUACUUGUGUUGAGUGACAAUUACCCCAUGAGGUUCCCUGAGAACUUCCAAUCCUAAGAAGUGGUACAAUUUAGCUCCAUUUAGCUGACCAAACCUGUCUUCAAGAUCAUUCCAUAGAGCUUCAGCAGUUUUUGAAUAAAUAACAGACUCAGUAAUUUCCUUAGAAAGAGAAUUAAUCAACCAAGAUGUGACCAUGUCAUUGCAUCUAUUCCAGAGUUUAUAGUCUGGAGAUGCAGAAUCUGGUUGUUUAGUAGUGCCAUCAAU